UACGUAGGGAGCAAGCGUUGUCCGGAAUCAUUGGGCGUAAAGAGCGUGUAGGCGGCCCGAUAAGUCCGCUGUGAAAGUCCAGGGCUCAACCCUGGAAUGCCGGUGGAUACUGUCGGGCUCGAAUCCGGAAGAGGUGAGUGGAAUUCCUGGUGUAGCGGUGAAAUGCGCAGAUAUCAGGAGGAACACCAAUGGCGAAGGCAGCUCACUGGGACGGUAUUGACGCUGAGACGCGAAAGCGUGGGGAGCAAACAGG
rnacentral:rRNA from 1 species